AACGAACGCUGGCGGCAGGCUUAAACACAUGCAAGUCGAAACGCCCCGCAAGGGGAGUGGCAGACGGGUGAGUAACGCGUGGGAAUCUACCCAGUUCUACGGAACAACUGAGGGAAACUUCAGCUAAUACCGUAUACGCCCUACGGGGGAAGAUUUAUCGGAAUUGGAUGAGCCCGCGUUGGAUUAGCUAGUUGGUGAGGUAACGGCUCACCAAGGCGACGAUCCAUAGCUGGUCUGAGAGGAUGAUCAGCCACACUGGGACUGAGACACGGCCCAGACUCCUACGGGAGGCAGCAGUGGGGAAUAUUGGACAAUGGGCGCAAGCCUGAUCCAGCCAUGCCGCGUGAGUGAUGAAGGCCUUAGGGUUGUAAAGCUCUUUCAGUGGGGACGAUAAUGACGGUACCCACAGAAGAAGCCCCGGCUAACUCGUG
rnacentral:rRNA from 1 species